rnacentral:rRNA from 1 species
AUCUAUGACCAUACCACCCUAAACGCGCCCAAUCUCAUCUGAUGGCCGAAGCUGAGGAGGGUGGGGCCUGGUUAGUACUUGCAUGGAAGGAGCGUGGCUUCCCUGUUGCUCUGAGAUU